rnacentral:rRNA from 1 species
GGCCUUUAUGUCCAGGGCUACACACGUGCUACAAUGGACGGUACAAAGGGUUGCUAUCCCGCGAGGAGGAGCUAAUCCCAAAAAGCCGUUCUCAGUUCGGAUCGGAGUCUGCAACUCGACUCCGUGAAGUUGGAAUCGCUAGUAAUCGUGGAUCAGCAUGCCACGGUGAAUACGUUCCGGCCUU